rnacentral:rRNA from 1 species
UGCCUACGGGGCGCAGCAGUGGGGAAUAUUGCACAAUGGGGGAAACCCUGAUGCAGCAACGCCGCGUGAGUGAAGAAGGUUUUCGGAUUGUAAAGCUCUGUUAGCAGGGAAGAGGAAGGACGGUACCUGCAGAGGAAGCCACGGCUAACUACGUGCCAGCAGCCGCGGCAAUACGUAGGGGGCAAGCGUUAUCCGGAAUUACUGGGUGUAAAGGGAGCGUAGACGGCUGUGCAAGUCUGGAGUGAAAGGCGGGGGCCCAACCCCCGGACUGCUCUGGAAACU